UAAAGUAAUUUAGAUAAAUGCAUAUUGGCAUUAACUGAGUAAUUAUUAUUGUGUGUGAUUUCCUUUAUUAUGUGAUAGGACUGUAAAAUAUCAUUAAAUUAAAUCGAAAAUCAGUCAUGGAUAGAGCCCUCUGUUUUUCUAUUUUUCUGCUUUCUGGUGUGUAUGUGACAUACCAACUUCAAACUAACGUGUGCACCAGCAGCGGACGGUUUGCGUCCCCUGGCGACGAAACGUGUACAAAAUACAUCCUAUGCAUUCGUGUACCAUUUACACAAACAUUUAAAUAUUAUAACUACACGUGUCCUGCUCCCUCUUUAUUUAAUCCGAAUAAUAGCGUAUGUACUACAAAUUAUACAUGUAAAGAAACUAAAAGUCUCUAUGCAACGCAGAAGGUCGUAUCCCCGAUCCAACAUCGACCAAUUGUACAAAAUACAUACAAUGUAUAAAUAUUAACAGUACAUAUCAAGAAUUCCCCCAAAGCUGUCCAGAUGGUACUUAUUUUAAUCCCAACAUAACCGAAUGUGACGCGCUUUACUCGUGUCCUUAUUUUUCCUGCCCUUCUUCAGGCAGAUUUGCAAACACUACAGAUCAAACGUGUCAAUCCUGUAUUUUAUGUGUUAAACUCAAUAAUGGCACGUUAGCUCACUAUAUAUACAUGUCCAUCAGUUUGUGUGUUUAAUCCCGCAACAGAAUUGUGUACGACUCAGUAUAUAUGUCCAACGAGAAAUUCUACAGUUUAAUUUAAAAAAUACACUUGGAAUGAGAUGAUUUAGUAUUUACCUACUUUGUUUUAAUAUUAAAAUAUUAUUAAGUUGAUUAA